GAUAACCUCGGGAAACUGGGUAUAAUACCCGAUAGGUCUCGAUUGCUGGAAUGCAUCGAGAUUUAAAGCUCCGGCGCCUAAGGAUGGGUCUGCGGCCUAUCAGGUAGUAGUGGGUGUAGCGUACCUACUAGCCUACGACGGGUACGGGUUGUGAGAGCAAGAGCCCGGAGAUGGAUUCUGAGACACGAAUCCAGGCCCUACGGGGUGCAGCAGGCGCGAAAACUUUACAAUGCUGGCAACAGCGAUAAGGGAACCUCGAGUGCCAGCAUCAUAUGCUGGCUGUCCGGAUGUGUAAAAUACAUCCGUUAGCAAGGGCCGGGCAAGACCGGUGCCAGCCGCCGCGGUAACACCGGCGGCCCGAGUGGUGAUCGUGAUUAUUGGGUCUAAAGGGUCCGUAGCCGGUUUGGUCAGUCCUCCGGGAAAUCUGAUAGCUCAACUAUUAGGCUUUCGGGGGAUACUGCCAGACUUGGAACCGGGAGAGGUAAGAGGUACUACAGGGGUAGGAGUGAAAUCUUGUAAUCCCUGUGGGACCACCUGUGGCGAAGGCGUCUUACCAGAACGGGUUCGACGGUGAGGGACGGAAGCUGGGGGCACGAACCGGAUUAGAUACCCGGGUAGUCCCAGCCGUAAACGAUGCUCGCUAGGUGUCAGGCAUGGCGCGACCGUGUCUGGUGCCGCAGGGAAGCCGUGAAGCGAGCCACCUGGGAAGUACGGCCGCAAGGCUGAAACUUAAAGGAAUUGGCGGGGGAGCACAACAACGGGUGGAGCCUGCGGUUUAAUUGGACUCAACGCCGGACAACUCACCGGGGGCGACAGCAAUAUGUAGGCCAAGCUGAAGACUUUGCCUGAAUCGCUGAGAGGAGGUGCAU
rnacentral:rRNA from 1 species